GGAUCGAUAGCUCAGUGGUAGAGGUUAGUACUAGUUCUUGCAUCAAGCCGUUUCUACCGAAAUAUAUUAACAAAUUCGUCAGCGAGAGAUUGCAGAUCUCUAGGUCACGCGUUCGAUCCGCGUUCGGUCCU